rnacentral:rRNA from 1 species
AGCGAACGCUGGCGGCAGGCCUAACACAUGCAAGUCGAACGAACUCUUCGGAGUUAGUGGCGGACGGGUGAGUAACACGUGGUAACGUGCCUUUAGGUUCGGAAUAACUCAGGGAAACUUGAGCUAAUACCGGAUGUGCCCUUCGGGGGAAAGAUUUAUCGCCUUUAGAGCGGCCCGCGUCUGAUUAGCUAGUUGGUGAGGUAAAGGCUCACCAAGGCGACGAUCAGUAGCUGGUCUGAGAGGAUGAUCAGCCACAUUGGGACUGAGACACGGCCCAAACUACUACGGGAGGCAGCAGUGGGGAAUAUUGCGAAAUGGGCGAAAGCCUGACGCAGCAAUGCCGCGUGAAUGAUGAAGGUAUUAGGAUUGUAAAAUUCUUUCACAGGGGAAGAUAAUGACGGUACCGGGAGAAGAAGCCCCGGCUAACUUCGUG